UUUCUUGAUUAGUGGCGCACGGGUGAGUAAUGCAUAGAUAAUGUGCCCCUUAGUUCGGGAUAGCCACUGGAAACGGUGAUUAAUACCGGAUACUCCUUCUUGUUAUAAGACAAGUCGGGAAAGUUUUUCGCUAAGGGAUCAGUCUAUGUUCCAUCAGCUUGUUGGUGAGGUAAUGGCUCACCAAGGCUAUGACGGAUAUCUGGUUUGAGAGGAUGAUCAGACACACUGGAACUGAGACACGGUCCAGACUCCUACGGGAGGCAGCAGUGAGGAAUAUUGCGCAAUGGGGGCAACCCUGACGCAGCGACGCCGCGUGGAUGAUGAAGGCCUUCGGGUCGUAAAAUCCUGUCAGAUGGGAAGAAGUGCAUGGUGGUUAAUACCCAUCAUGUUUGACGGUACCAUCAGAGGAAGCACCGGCUAACUCCGUGCCAGCAGCCGCGGUAAUACGGAGGGUGCAAGCGUUGUUCGGAAUUACUGGGCGUAAAGCGCGCGUAGGCGGUUUGUUAAGUCAGAUGUGAAAGCCCAGGGCUUAACCUUGGACGUGCAUUUGAAACUGGCAGACUUGAGUAUUGGAGGGGGUGGUGGAAUUCCCGGUGUAGAGGUGAAAUUCGUAGAUAUCGGGAGGAAUACCGGUGGCGAAGGCGACCACCUGGCCAAAUACUGACGCUGAUUUCUUGAUUAGUGGCGCACGGGUGAGUAAUGCAUAGAUAAUGUGCCCCUUAGUUCGGGAUAGCCACUGGAAACGGUGAUUAAUACCGGAUACUCCUUCUUGUUAUAAGACAAGUCGGGAAAGUUUUUCGCUAAGGGAUCAGUCUAUGUUCCAUCAGCUUGUUGGUGAGGUAAUGGCUCACCAAGGCUAUGACGGAUAUCUGGUUUGAGAGGAUGAUCAGACACACUGGAACUGAGACACGGUCCAGACUCCUACGGGAGGCAGCAGUGAGGAAUAUUGCGCAAUGGGGGCAACCCUGACGCAGCGACGCCGCGUGGAUGAUGAAGGCCUUCGGGUCGUAAAAUCCUGUCAGAUGGGAAGAAGUGCAUGGUGGUUAAUACCCAUCAUGUUUGACGGUACCAUCAGAGGAAGCACCGGCUAACUCCGUGCCAGCAGCCGCGGUAAUACGGAGGGUGCAAGCGUUGUUCGGAAUUACUGGGCGUAAAGCGCGCGUAGGCGGUUUGUUAAGUCAGAUGUGAAAGCCCAGGGCUUAACCUUGGACGUGCAUUUGAAACUGGCAGACUUGAGUAUUGGAGGGGGUGGUGGAAUUCCCGGUGUAGAGGUGAAAUUCGUAGAUAUCGGGAGGAAUACCGGUGGCGAAGGCGACCACCUGGCCAAAUACUGACGCUGA
rnacentral:rRNA from 1 species